rnacentral:tRNA from 1 species
GCAUCCGUAGCUCAGCUGGAUAGAGUACUCGGCUACGAACCGAGCGGUCGGANNAGAUUCCCGAUGCA